UGAGCUUGAUCAUGGCUCACAAUGAACGCUGGCGGCGUGCUUUACACAUGCAAGUCGAGCGAGGCGGGUAGCAAUACCCAGUCGAGCGGCGAACGGGUGAGUAACGCGUGGAUUAUCUACCCUGAGGUGGGGGAUAACCCGGCGAAAGCCGGGCUAAUACCGCAUAACAUCGAAAGAUCAAAGGGGGAGCAAUCUCCCGCCAUUGGAGGAGUCCGCGUCCGAUUAGCUAGUUGGUAGGGUAAUGGCCUACCAAGGCGACGAUCGGUAGCCGGCCUGAGAGGGUGAUCGGCCACACUGGAACUGAGACACGGUCCAGACUCCUACGGGAGGCAGCAGUGGGGAAUUUUGCGCAAUGGGCGAAAGCCUGACGCAGCAACGCCGCGUGGAGGAUGACGGUCCUUGGAUCGUAAACUCCUGUCAGCAGGGAAAAAGGGGACCGGGCUCAUACCCCGGUUCAUUGAUUGUACCUGCAGAGGAAGCCCCGGCUAACUCUGUGCCAGCAGCCGCGGUAAUACAGAGGGGGCAAGCGUUAUUCGGAAUUAUUGGGCGUAAAGGGCGCGUAGGCGGCUCGACAAGUGGAAGGUGAAAUCCCUCGGCUUAACCGAGGAACUGCCCUCCAAACUGUUUUGCUUGAGGCCGGGAGAGGUGAGUGGAAUUCCCAGUGUAGCGGUGAAAUGCGUAGAUAUUGGGAGGAACACCAGUGGCGAAGGCGGCUCACUGGACCGGUUCUGACGCUGAGGCGCGAAAGCGUGGGGAGCAAACGGGAUUAGAUACCCCGGUAGUCCACGCCGUAAACGAUGAAUGCUUGGUGUAGCGGGUAUCGA
rnacentral:rRNA from 1 species